rnacentral:rRNA from 1 species
AACGAACGCUGGCGGCAGGCUUAACACAUGCAAGUCGAACGCCCCGCAAGGGGAGUGGCAGACGGGUGAGUAACGCGUGGGAACAUACCCUUUCCUGCGGAAUAGCUCUGGGAAACUGGAAUUAAUACCGCAUACGCCCUACGGGGGAAGGAUUUAUCGGGGAAGGAUUGGCCCGCGUUGGAUUAGCUAGUUGGUGGGGUAAAGGCCUACCAAGGCGACGAUCCAUAGCUGGUCUGAGAGGAUGAUCAGCCACAUUGGGACUGAGACACGGCCCAAACUCCUACGGGAGGCAGCAGUGGGGAAUAUUGGGCAAUGGGCGCGAGCCUGAUCCAGCCAUGCCGCGUGAGUGAUGAAGGCCUUAGGGUUGUAAAGCUCUUUCACCGAUGAAGAUAAUGACGGUAGUCGGAGAAGAAGCCCCGGCUAACUUCGUGCCAGCAGCCGCGGUAAAAC